GUGUCAGCCGCCGCGGUAAUACAGAGGGUGCAAGCGAAAAUCGGAUUUAGUGGGCGUAAAGCGCGCGUAGGUGGACAAUAAAGUCAAAUGUGAAAUCCGGGAGCUUAACUUGGGAAUUGCAUUCGAUACUGGUUGGCUAGAGUAUCCGAGGGGAUGGUAGAAUUCCAGGUGUAGCGGUGAAAUGCGUAGAGAUCUGGAGGAAUACCGAUGGCGAAGGCAGCCAACUGGCCUAAUACUGACACUGAGGUGCGAAAGCUUGGGGAGCAAACAGG
rnacentral:rRNA from 1 species